rnacentral:rRNA from 1 species
CCCUUAGAUGUUCUGGGCCGCACGCGCGCUACACUGAUGAAUGCAACGAGCUCUACCCUUGACCGAAAGGCCCGGGUAAACUUGUGAAACUUCAUCGUGAUGGGGAUAGAUUAUUGCAAUUAUUAAUCUUCAACGAGGAAUUCCUAGUAAGCGCGAGUCAUCAGCUCGCGUUGAUUACGUCCCUGCCCUUUGUACACACCGCCCGUCGCUCCUACCGAUUGAAUGGUCCGGUGAAAUCUUCGGAUCGCUGACCAAGAUCCAGCAAUGGAGCUUGGUUGCGAGAAGUUGAUUAAACCUUAUUAUUUAGAGGAAGGUGAAGUCGUAACA